rnacentral:rRNA from 1 species
AACGUAGGUGGCCAGCGUUAUCCGGAUUUACUGGGCGUAAAGGGUGUGCAGGCUGCCCAGCAAGUGGUGUAUGAAAGCGCCCGGCUCAACCGGGAAGGGUUAUGCCAGACUGCUGGGCUAGAGAGCGAGAGCGGGACGUGGAAUUCCGGGUGUAGUGGUGAAAUGCGUAGAGAUCCGGAGGAACCCCAGAGGCGAAGGCGGCGUCCUGGCUCGCAUCUGACGCUCAGACACGACAGCAUGGGGAGCGAACGGG